rnacentral:rRNA from 1 species
UACGGGGGGGGCAAGCGUUGUUCGGAAUUACUGGGCGUAAAGGGUUCGUAGGCGGCCAACUAAGUCAGACGUGAAAUCCCUCGGCUUAACCGGGGAACUGCAUCUGAUACUGGAUGGCUUGAGUUCGGGAGAGGGAUGCGGAAUUCCAGGUGUAGCGGUGAAGUGCGUAGAUAUCUGGAGGAACACCGGUGGCGAAGGCGGCAUCCUGGACCGACACUGACGCUGAGGAGCGAAAGCCAGGGGAGCAAACGGG